rnacentral:tRNA from 1 species
CAGAAGGUAGUUUAUUUGAAAAUGUUGGCUUUGGGGGCCAGUGAUGGGCUUGAUCUGUUCUCUUCUGA